rnacentral:sRNA from 12 species
GAGAGUCGGCAAUAAUACCUUGCUGGGUGCCACGAUGUUCCGCCAUCUGGUGGCGCGUGAGCCGUGGAACCACACCCAGCAAGACGCCGCUCCU